UCCUAAUAUUUUCCCAUUUCUACGACAUUACUAUUUUUACUAUUAUAUUCAUUUAAUACUCAAUAAAAAUGUAUUUUUAUAUACUCUUAUUACAUUAGUAUUUUUUAAAAAGUUUGAUAACCACUAACCCUAAAUUUUUUUUAGAGAAUGCUACUAAACAAAAAAAUACUUUACAUACAUAAUAAUGCAAUUUUUAUACACAUUUCAAAAUAAAUAUUUUAUGUUUUAGCUUUUCUAACUCCUUAAUUCGAUUUUUUUUUUAAAUAAUCAU
rnacentral:lncRNA from 1 species